AGGAAAUCGACUCCUCCAUGCGGCCUCCAAGAGGAAGACCAGCCCUUCUGACCCAUUUCACUCUUCUGGCCUCCAAAAUGGCAAGAUGACAAAUUUGCAUUGUUUUAAGCUUGUGGCAAAAUUUUACAGUAAUAAUAGGAAAUACCCACUUGCUAAGGGACUUGACUUCCCCUUGACUCAAGCCACUUCUGGGUGACACCCUGGCUUCCUCACAGAAUCUGAUGCUCAUGCUCCCCCUCCUGACUUAUAAAUGCUGCUAUUAGUGCUGUCAUUUCCGGCUGUGAACUCGCCUUCCUCAGCUAUCCCAGGGAUCUUCCAGUGUAAUCUAAUUGUUCCCAGUAAGCUGGAAAGCUGAGAGGGGGAGAUGAUAAAUAUAAGUCCAACACUUUAGGAAAUGUCAUGAUGCCUUUUCCUUCCUGAAUGAAGAGGGCACCGGGAAGGAUCCCCUCCAGCAGAACAACUUAUCAGACUUCUCUUCCAUUGGUCUCCCAGCCACCCCAGCUGUCACCUGGGCAAUCUGGUUAAACACAUGUCAAAGGAAACCUCAAGUGGCAAGUGUCCAUCUCUAUUCCCCCUUGCAGAGGCUAAAGCCCAUUUCAAAGUUCUCUGAGCCCCAUUUGUGAAAGUCACUCUCUUCUACACCAAUAUUCCCACCACAUGCAACAGCUCUCAGUAUUUAGGACCCUACCAAGAGAGUUGAUUCCUCUUGCCUUUCAACACGAUCUAUGCUUUCUAUGAAAGCCUAUUGAGGAUGAAAAUCCAGAUUCAGCUGGAUGAAUUUCAACACACUCAAGAGUCUAUCCAGGUCUGCCCUUGCCAUAAGCCCCAUGGAAGGCAGUCCAGGUGAGUACAAGACCAGCCACCCUUCAGGUCCUGACUUAGACACCCAGGACAGCUGAGCACUGGUGUUUGGGGGAAUUCAGUGUGCCCUAGUGAGGAAUUUAUGCACUUCCUGUCCACUCUGGUUAGCAGGUUAGGAGUAGGUCACAUGAUAUUGUCCUGAAUGGAGACAAUUAAGGAACUAGAGCAUAGUUUGGGGUUCGGUUAUUGUCACAAGCCUUCCUUGGGCUGUGUGUAGACUAUGUUGCGCAUUGUAGCCUCCUCGGGGGAUAAGUCUGGCACUGGGAACUCCCUGGGGCACUCCCCACAGGGAUUGAUUGCCUGAAGCAGGUGAACUUCCCCCUCAAGCUCUUCCUAAAAUCCCACACAGCACCUGAGAUGGAUGUGCCCUGACAAGAUGUC
rnacentral:lncRNA from 1 species